UACGGAGGGGGCUAGCGUUGUUCGGAAUUACUGGGCGUAAAGCGCGCGUAGGCGGACCUGCAAGUCGGGGGUGAAAGCCCGAGGCUCAACCUCGGAACUGCCUUCGAUACUGCGGGUCUCGAGUCCGGGAGAGGUGAGUGGAAUUCCUAGUGUAGAGGUGAAAUUCGUAGAUAUUAGGAAGAACACCAGUGGCGAAGGCGGCUCACUG
rnacentral:rRNA from 1 species